UACAGAGGUCUCAAGCGUUGUUCGGAUUCAUUGGGCGUAAAGGGUGCGUAGGCGGCGCGGUAAGUCGGGUGUGAAAUUUCGAGGCUUAACUUCGAAACUGCAUUCGAUACUGCCGUGCUUGAGGACUGGAGAGGAGACUGGAAUUUACGGUGUAGCGGUGAAAUGCGUAGAUAUCGUAAGGAACACCAGUGGCGAAGGCGGCUCACUGGCCCGGUACUGACGCUGAGGUGCGAAAGCGUGGGGAGCAAACAGG
rnacentral:rRNA from 1 species